AUGGGGCCCACACUCCUCUGCCUGGCGGCCCUGUGUGUCCUGGGAGCAGGCUCCGUGGACACCGAGGUCACCCAGACUCCAGGACAGCUGGUCAGAGGGACAAAGCAGAAAGCGAGGAUGGAGUGUGUCCCUAUCAAAGGUCAUAACCGUGUUUAUUGGUAUCGUCAGAAGCCGGGAGAAGACCUGACGUUUAUGAUUUACUUUGUGAAUGAAGAAGCCACUGAUGAAUCAGGAAUGCCCAGUGAGCGGUUUUCAGCUCAGUGUCCCAAGAACUCACGGUGCAGCAUGAAGAUCGAGCCCACGGAGCUGCAGGACUCAGCCGUGUACUUCUGUGCCAGCAGUGAGUCCACAGAGCUGCAGGGUCAGCUGUUCCUGGGACACAAACUUGCUCUGACCCAGCUCAGGAAACAGGUGGGACAUGAGGUUGUUGGGCAGUAA